GAUGAACGCUGGCGGCGUGCCUAAUACAUGCAAGUCGAGCGAAUGGAUUAAGAGCUUGCUCUUAUGAAGUUAGCGGCGGACGGGUGAGUAACACGUGGGUAACCUGCCCAUAAGACUGGGAUAACUCCGGGAAACGGGGGCUAAUACCGGAUAACAUUUUGAACCGCAUGGUUCGAAAUUGAAAGGCGGCUUCGGCUGUCACUUACGGAUGGACCCGCGUCGCAUUAGCUAGUUGGUGAGGUAACGGCUCACCAAGGCAACGAUGCGUAGCCGACCUGAGAGGGUGAUCGGCCACACUGGGACUGAGACACGGCCCAGACUCCUACGGGAGGCAGCAGUAGGGAACCUUCCGCAAUGGACGAAAGUCUGACGGAGCAACGCCGCGUGAGUGAUGAAGGCUUUCGGGUCGUAAAACUCUGUUGUUAGGGAAGAACAAGUGCUAGUUGAAUAAGCUGGCACCUUGACGGUACCUAACCAGAAAGCCACGGCUAACUACGUGCCAGCCGCCGCAGUAA
rnacentral:rRNA from 1 species